AUGGAGGCCCUCUCUCACGCCGUUCGGAGCGGGACAGAGGCCGGCAUGGAGGUGGAGCAGAUCCUCUCCCUCGCCGCUAACCACGUCAACGACAACGCCGAUCUGGCCUGCCACGCCCUCGCGCAGAGCGGGAUACCAGCCGACGCGGUCCUCUCGGCGGCCAUGAAAACAGGGCUGAAGGCCAGAGAGGAGGUCUACGCCACCCUGCUGGAGCAGCUACUCGCCUCCUUCGCCGAACCAUCGGAGGACACCCAGCUGAGGGAAUGGGGGUGGCCCCCCAAACCCCAGUACUCUUUCACCGAGAAGAGGAGCGGCCCAAGAGUAGACCCCAAGCAGCCCUUCUUCCUCAUCAGCAUGAAGGCGUCCGCCGAGACGGCGCGGAUAUCGUGGUCGAUGAAGAAGUAUCCCCGCUACCCACGGGACCGAGCGUGGCACAAUCCUCUGCGCGUCGCGCGCCUGGGCACGGGAGCCGAGGGGUUUCGUGUAGAGCAGGCAGGGCAAGGCGGGCAGCCGGGCGCCCUCUCCUCCUUCAUCGACGUCACGUACAGCGGGUGGCCGCGCCCCAAGGAGGGCAUCUUCGAGGAAGGCUCCUCCGUGCCUCUCAGGGAGGUCGCCGUCAUCAAGAGGUUGCCUGGUGGUGAUGGGAUUUCUGUCAUGUCCUAUGUUCAUGGACUUGGUGUUAAGCUUGAUGAUAUCCUCCUUGUGUUGCACGUCCCGUCUGCCGCUGUGCCCCUGAGAUUCACGGAGCAGUCCUUCUACGUCUCUGAAAACUUCGAGGAGAUUCCAAUGUAUGCCCCAACUGGUCUUGAUUUCAUAGACAUCAAUGCCCCCGUCAAGAAUCUGAUCAAGAAACUUUACCAGCUGUAUUUACAAGAGGAGCAAGAGAAAAAUAGUAAGCCUGAGAAACAAGGUCAUCGGGGAAGUGAGGAGCUGGUGUACCGGCAAGAGGAGGAGUUCAUGCUCCAAAGACAUGAGACUGAGGAGGAGAAGCUGGAGCGCCUGCGGGGGAGAAGGGAGGAGAGCAAGAAACAUAGAGAUCUACGCAAGGAAAUGAAGGAGGCGGUUCAUCGGAUCAAGGAUGCAGCAAGGACUUCAGAAGAAGAGGAGCAUCAGAAGGAGUAUGACCCAAUGCUUCUGCCCUUCCUAUUUCAGGAAGAAUGUGGUGGUCUGGUGAAACCAUUGGAAGAGCUGAGCCAAAGUGGGAAGAGACACGACGGAUCGCUUGUGGAAGUUGUGGAGCAGCAAGUUAGCUCUUAA
rnacentral:rRNA from 1 species